rnacentral:rRNA from 1 species
GACGAACGCUGGCGGCGUGCCUAAUACAUGCAAGUAGGACGCAGUUGCGAACGGGUGAGUAACGCGUAGGUAACUACCUAUUAGAGGGGGAUAACUAUUGGAAACGAUAGCUAAUACCGCAUACUAGUAGAUGGACCUGCGUUGUAUUAGCUAGUAGGUGGGGUAAUGGCCUACCUAGGCAACGAUAAAGAGACGAUCCGGGGGGGUUGGCGGCCACACUUGGACCGAAGCACGGCCCCGCCUCCUUCGGUAGGGAGCUGUGGGGAAGCUUCUGCAAUGGGGGGAACCCUGACCGCGCAACGCCGCGUUAGUGAAGAAGUUUUUCGGUUCUUAAAGCUCUGUUGUGCAGGAAGCGUUACUUAACCAGAAAGGGACGGCUAACUCCGUGCCAGCAGCCGCGGUAAUAC